GGUAAACCCACAUCUCAAGCCCCUGUUCUUUCUUUCCAUACAUAGAUAUAUGGCUCAGACAACCCCGAAUCACACACAGACUGUUUCUGGGUGGGCAGCUCAUGAUUCCUCCGGCAAGAUCACCCCGUACGUCUUCAAGAGAAGGUGCAUGGUUUCCAAACUUUUUCUCUGUGAUUCAAUUAGAACAGUUAAUUAGUAACCGGUGAACUGAUGGAUUUGUGAUGACAAUG
rnacentral:lncRNA from 1 species